ACGGGGCUAAACCAUGCACCGAAGCUGCGGCAGCGACACUCAGGUGUUGUUGGGUAGGGGAGCGUUCUGUAAGCCUGCGAAGGUGGCCUGUGAGGGUUGCUGGAGGUAUCAGAAGUGCGAAUGCUGACAUAAGUAACGAUAAAGCGGGUGAAAAGCCCGCUCGCCGGAAGACCAAGGGUUCCUGUCCAACGUUAAUCGGGGCAGGGUGAGUCGACCCCUAAGGCGAGGCCGAAAGGCGUAGUCGAUGGGAAACGGGUUAAUAUUCCCGUACUUGGUGUUACUGCGAAGGGGGGACGGAGAAGGCUAUGUUGGCCGGGCGACGGUUGUCCCGGUUUAAGCGUGUAGGUGUGUGUUCCAGGUAAAUCCGGUUCACUUUAACACUGAGGCGUGACGACGAGGCACUACGGUGCUGAAGCAACAAAUGCCCUGCUUCCAGGAAAAGCCUCUAAGCAUCAGGUAACAUCAAAUCGUACCCCAAACCGACACAGGUGGUCAGGUAGAGAAUACCAAGGCGCUUGAGAGAACUCGGGUGAAGGAACUAGGCAAAAUGGUGCCGUAACUUCGGGAGAAGGCACGCUGACACGUAGGUGAAGUGAUUUACUCAUGGAGCUGAAGUCAGUCGAAGAUACCAGCUGGCUGCAACUGUUUAUUAAAAACACAGCACUGUGCAAACA
rnacentral:rRNA from 1 species